rnacentral:rRNA from 1 species
GUCCUGAGCCUAGUACGGCGAGUGAGCGGCAAAAGCUCAAAUUUGAAAUCUAGCACCUUCGGUGUUCGAGUUGUAAUUUGAAGAUGGUAACCUUGGGUUUGGCUCUUGUCUAUGUUCCUUGGAACAGGACGUCAUAGAGGGUGAGAAUCCCGUCUGAUGAGAUGCCCAUUCCUAUGUAAGGUGCUAUCGAAGAGUCGAGUUGUUUGGGAAUGCAGCUCUAAGUGGGUGGUAAAUUCCAUCUAAAGCUAAAUAUUGGCGAGAGACCGAUAGCGAACAAGUACAGUGAUGGAAAGAUGAAAAGAACUUUGAAAAGAGAGUGAAAAAGUACGUGAAAUUGUUGAAAGGGAAGGGCAUUAGAUCAGACUUGGUGUUUUACGAUUAUCUUCUCUUCUUGAGUUGUGCACUCGUAUUUCACUGGGCCAGCAUCGAUUCGGAUGGCAAGAUAAUGGCAGUUGAAUGUGGCUUCACUUCGGUGGAGUGUUAUAGCUUCUGCUGAUAUUGCCUGUCUGGAUCGAGGGCUGCGUCUUUUGACUAGGAUGCUGGCGUAAUGAUCUAAUGCCGCCCGUCUUGAAACACCGGGACCAAA